UACGUAGGGUGCGAGCGUUGUCCGGAAUUAUUGGGCGUAAAGAGCUCGUAGGCGGUUUGUCGCGUCGACUGUGAAAACCUGGGGGCUUAACUCUGGGCCUGCAGUCGAUACGGGCAGACUUGAGUUCGGUAGGGGAGACUGGAAUUCCUGGUGUAGCGGUGAAAUGCGCAGAUAUCGGGAGGAACACCGGUGGCGAAGGCGGGUCUCUGGGCCGAUACUGACGCUGAGGAGCGAAAGCGUGGGGAGCGAACAGG
rnacentral:rRNA from 1 species